AUUGAACGCUGGCGGCAUGCUUUACACAUGCAAGUCGAACGGCAGCGCGGGGCAACCUGGCGGCGAGUGGCGAACGGGUGAGUAAUACAUCGGAACGUACCCAGAAGUGGGGGAUAACGUAGCGAAAGUUACGCUAAUACCGCAUACGUUCUACGGAAGAAAGUGGGGGACCUUCGGGCCUCAUGCUUUUGGAGCGGCCGAUGUCUGAUUAGCUAGUUGGUAGGGUAAAGGCCUACCAAGGCGACGAUCAGUAGCUGGUCUGAGAGGACGACCAGCCACACUGGGACUGAGACACGGCCCAGACUCCUACGGGAGGCAGCAGUGGGGAAUUUUGGACAAUGGGCGCAAGCCUGAUCCAGCAAUGCCGCGUGAGUGAAGAAGGCCUUCGGGUUGUAAAGCUCUUUUGUCAGGGAAGAAACGGUCGGGGUUAAUACCUCUGGCUAAUGACGGUACCUGAAGAAUAAGCACCGGCUAACUACGUGCCAGCCGCCGCAGUAA
rnacentral:rRNA from 1 species